UGUGGACGCUCUGUAAUCCGUUUCUGAAGGUUUCCCCUGUUUUCUUAAACGCAAACUCACCACUUAUCAGAGGGAUGUGCUGUGUGAAACACUGCUCACAUCUAAAAAGACACCUAAUUCCUCAUCUAAGGCAAAAAGAAACUCAAGCCUUUCUGUUUGUGUUGUGAAAAUCCACCGCUGUUCAUUGAAUUCACCCUAACUUCUACAAAGGGGAGAGCUGGACGUAGAUGAACUGAGUGAUUCAAUUCUAACAAAACGGAAUCUCUUAAGCACUAAGAAGAAAGAGAAGAACUAAAGUUAAAAACUGAACAUACAAAAAAGAUACAAUUUAGCUCGCUGCAACCUUGGCAAGCGCAACCAGGGGAUUGAGGGGAGGCGAGUGUGUGGGAGUCAAGCUCCGGCCAAAGAAAAGAGCAACACGGUGCUUCAGGAUGAGAUCUGAAGAGAGCCAAUGAGUCACCAAUGAAGAGGAAACCAGAGCAGAAAACAAGAGACAGCCGUGCCACCAAAAAGACAUUUUAAGAAGGAGGGAGAAGGCAAGGCGUCCCUUCCACAGAACUGCAGGGAAACCUCAGCAGACACCUCAAGAUGAGACCGGGAGGCAGAGAAAGAAACGUUGUCUCCUUGCCCAGGUUAAUGUUGCUAAAAGAGAGAAGAAGCUGGAGGUGUGGGAGGAUGAAGGACUUCUAAGGUUAUCGGCUCCAGAGAAUGCCUCAGAAGGGCUUGUCCAUGAGAGAGUAAAUCAUUAUACUUAAUCCAGUAAUGGGCCGUGCCUUUCCGGUGUUUGGGAUUCUAAUCCCUUCGCAGAAAAACGUUUUCGAACACGAAGUGGGGAAGCAGGAGGCUUCACAGGAUAAAGAUCCCUCCUAUUUUAAACAAAGCAGUUGAUGAUGGCUUUAGUGCUCGUUCGUACUGGGCCACAAAUAACCUUCUCCGGGAGGGAGGGGGAAGGAAACUCCUUCCUUCCCCAGACUGAUCGGAGACUACACUGUGGUCACUGUCCACUAACUACUCUCACCAGAAAUAUCUUAUCUCUCCCGUUGCUUAGAGCCAUAAAUGUCAUUUUAAUUCAGUGACUUGAAGUGUCGCCUACUCGCAUGCUCUUUCAAGUCUUUCACUGGGAUCAGUAAACACCCGCAAGCCUAUUUAAUAAAUCAACGAGGCUCAGGAAAGCUACUUCGAGAUGAGUAUACUUCAGUGAGCAUUUUAUUUCAAGCAUGGUCAUUUAUAUGCUGUUGCCAGUGGGAAUUUCUGGGAGUCUACGUGAUAAGCUCGGAGACAAUCAGCCCCUUGAACUGUUGAGAGGAAGUUGUUCUGACCCGAUUGCUUCCUGUGAGCAGAGAGAGACCUUUCGCUGACAAAGCAGCUUCAAAGUUACAGACACAAGCCCAGUGACUAGCUGAGGAGGAGUGGGCAUGCGCGGCACCUGGGAGAGGCGGACUGUGGGAAGUGGGACGUUAUCCGAGCAGCACAAGGGACAAGGUGGUGAAGAGCUCCCAGAACGGACACGUCAGCCCAUCAGACAUUCGUUCAACCUCCAUUCAGGAUAUUUGAUCGCACUGUGAUCCCCGAGAUUGUGUUGUUUACUGGAAAAACCUAUUUGUAGCUGUGGUUGUGGCUCAGCCUUAGCGCACACCUAUAAUCCUUCUGGCUGGAAUACAGACGUGCCCUUAGUACCCGUCCUUUCAUCCCAAACAAUGAAGGACAGGGUCUCUCUGUGUAACCUCGACUGCCCUGGAACUCACUCUGCAGACCAAACUGACCUUGAAAUCGGAGAGUCACCUGCCUCAGCCUCCGGAGUACUGGAAUUAAAGGCAUGGGCCACACCUCCCGGCUUGUAUUUAUCA